rnacentral:rRNA from 1 species
GACGAACGCUGGCGGCGUGCUUAACACAUGCAAGUCGAACGGAAAGGCCCUGCUUUUGUGGGGUGCUCGAGUGGCGAACGGGUGAGUAACACGUGAGUAACCUGCCCUUGACUUUGGGAUAACUUCAGGAAACUGGGGCUAAUACCGGAUAGGAGCUCCUGCUGCAUGGUGGGGGUUGGAAAGUUUCGGCGGUUGGGGAUGGACUCGCGGCUUAUCAGCUUGUUGGUGGGGUAGUGGCUUACCAAGGCUUUGACGGGUAGCCGGCCUGAGAGGGUGACCGGCCACAUUGGGACUGAGAUACGGCCCAGACUCCUACGGGAGGCAACAGUGGGGAAUAUUGCACAAUGGGCGGAAGCCUGAUGCAGCAACGCCGCGUGCGGGAUGAGGCCUUCGGGUUGUAAACCGCUUUCGCCUGUGACGAAGCGUGAGUGACGGUAAUGGGUAAAGAAGCACCGGCUAACUACGUG